UGUUUGGAAAGAGUUCCAGCUUCAUCACGGAGUUUCUCUCGGUUUGUGGGCUCAUCUAAAGUUUAUUGUCAACACGUUGAGAGAAGAGUGAGAGAGUGUUUGGAGAAAAACACCAACUAAUCAUUAGCUCAACAUGCUACUGGUGUCAACCCAGCCUCCAGUUUGAGAAUUAAAGUCAAGUCAGCCUCCACCAUGUUUUGUGUUUCCUUUGUAUUGUAAGUAUUACGGCAGGAUACGCGGACACCUGAUUUCAAACUAAAGACCAGCUUCGACUGAAUUAACAGAUAUGUUAAGAACAUAAAAAAUAUUAUUUAGUCUUUAGUCAGCUGCUGUGGAUGAACACAUGAGAGGAAGUGAACUCCUACAAAGUCUCAUUUUAAUGAGUCUGGCUGCUGUAAAGUGAUGCACAGGAAGAUGUUAACAAAAACUAAUGAAACAGAGAUGAAAGUAAACAGUGUUCAUAUUUGAAAGCACAGAGAAUAAAAAUAUAUUGUGCUGGUUAAUGUGCAGCUCUUGGUGAUUUGGGAGAAAAAUGUUUUUAAUCAUGUUGUGGAUUGAAUGUUGGGUUUUAUUUAUUUUGUCUACAGAAGUUUUUCCCACUUGUGAUCAUUCAGAUUGAUUUUUUUUGGCUUGACUUGAAUCAUGUGAAGGUUUAAAGCUGCACUUCCCCCAAAAAGAAUAAAGUAUAAUCAUGAAGAAUGUAAUAAUGUCUUCCUGUGUCAAACACAGCUGCAGUCAAAGCAGGAAGUAAAGCACUGAAACCACUGAUCAAUGACCAUCAGUACUGUGGGAAAUAUAAAUGUUGCAAUAUUUCAAUAAGUGCCAUAUUAAUCAAAAGGCGAUAGAAGGUUUAAACUGGAAGACAUUUAAAGUAGUGUUUUGCUUGUAACUGCAUACUUGCCUGCGCAGAUUAGAACAGGAUGUGUCAUAUACGAUCAUGGGGCCUCACAACGAGAAACAGGAAACAGAUGGAGGUGAGAGAGUGUUGAAACCGUUAGUGAGGAACAAACAUCAAUACUAUAAAAGUAGUUGCAGACAGCUGUCACUCACCGUCACUGGCGCAUGUUAUGUUAUCUGCUUACGCGUGAAGGGGCGUGAACCCUGACAUAUAAAACUGUAUAUCGAAGUGCUUCCUCUUUGAAAUCUACUGGACUACGCUGAGGGUGGUGUCGUGUACAUCUCCCACAUAUAUGCUUAAUAAAUAAUUGUUGUUGACUG